AGAAACAGCGAUGGUAUCGAAGAAGUAUGCGCAUACGCGUACAAAAAAAAUUGAGAUAAAGCUACGAAAGAGGAAUGCUGAUCACUUAAAAGCCAUUCCUAUACGAAUGGUUGUGUAUCUGCGUGUACGCGUAUGAAGGGUAGGUUACGUGUCUGUAUGAAUUACUUAGCCACUUCACAAUUUUCCAAACAGCGUUGCUAUUUAGUUGCAUGUCUUCAAAAGGAGUGGGCGAAUAACUCGUCUUUAAAUAAAUAAACAGUAUACUCACUUAUUCUGGUGACUAUCCAUGUGCAAUCUGUUCCCAAACAGACAUAAUUUGAAAAGCAGGCUAGUAGCCUAUUUAAUUUUGCUGGUUGCUGAAGCCAUCAGAUGAAAAUCCAAGUGACUUGCAGCCCCCUUCGCGCUGUACUUGAAUAUCGUUUUCGAUGUCACGGAAGGGAAGGCAAAUAUUAGCAGAAGUGGACAGAAUUGCCUUUGAUAGACUGGCUCACAGGGUUAUUUUGCCCAAGUGCAUAUACAAAAUCCAUUUGAGAGCGGUCUGAAUCGAUGAGAUACGCGCUUGAUUGGGUGUCCCUUGUUGUAAUAAUGUACAUCAGAAGGAGGGGAUGGACCCUAACUGUGUUUCAACUGCUUUAUGAACAUGGAUCAGCAGCUUUGCCAAACACUUUCUUGGCUGCUAAUAGCACUUUUUUUCCCUUUCUUUGUGUGGCCGAUAGUAGGUAUUUAAAGACAGGAACAGCAAAUCAGAGGCGACUUCCUUGCUCCAGAUGCCGUCUUCGCUUAAAAAGAGUCAGGCAGAAAUUCAGUAACAAACAAUUUCCUUGUUUUUCUGAGCACAGAAGGGAAAAAGACCGCUCUCACUUUUUACGAAACACGAUUUAA
rnacentral:lncRNA from 1 species